rnacentral:rRNA from 1 species
GGGCCCGCACAAGCGGUGGAGCAUGUGGUUUAAUUCGAUGCAACGCGAAGAACCUUACCAUCCCUUGACAUCCAGAGAAUUUUCUAGAGAUAGAUUAGUGCCUUCGGGAACUCUGAGACAGGUGCUGCAUGGCUGUCGUCAGCUCGUGUUGUGAGAUGUUGGGUUAAGUCCCGCAACGAGCGCAACCCUUAUCCUCAGUUGCCAGCGGUUCGGCCGGGAACUCUGUGGAGACUGCCGGUGAUAAACCGGAGGAAGGUGGGGACGACGUCAAGUCAUCAUGGCCCUUACGGGAUGGGCUACACACGUGCUACAAUGGCGCGUACAAUGGGAAGCAAGCACGCGAGUGUAAGCGGAUCUCAAAAAGCGCGUCGUAGUCCGGAUUGGAGUCUGCAACUCGACUCCAUGAAGUCGGAAUCGCUAGUAAUCGU